AUUGAACGCUGGCGGCAGGCCUAACACAUGCAAGUCGAGCGGAUGAAGGGAGCUUGCUCCUGGAUUCAGCGGCGGACGGGUGAGUAAUGCCUAGGAAUCUGCCUGGUAGUGGGGGAUAACGUCCGGAAACGGGCGCUAAUACCGCAUACGUCCUGAGGGAGAAAGUGGGGGAUCUUCGGACCUCACGCUAUCAGAUGAGCCUAGGUCGGAUUAGCUAGUUGGUGGGGUAAAGGCCUACCAAGGCGACGAUCCGUAACUGGUCUGAGAGGAUGAUCAGUCACAUUGGAACUGAGACACGGUCCAGACUCCUACGGGAGGCAGCAGUGGGGAAUAUUGGACAAUGGGCGAAAGCCUGAUACAGCCAUGCCGCGUGUGUGAAGAAGGUCUUCGGAUUGUAGAGCACUUUAAGUGGGGAGGAAGGGCAGUAAGUUAAUACCUUGCUGUUUUGACGUUACCAACAGAAUAAGCACCGGCUAACUUCGUG
rnacentral:rRNA from 1 species